UACGUAGGGGGCAAGCGUUGUCCGGAAUUAUUGGGCGUAAAGAGCUCGUAGGCGGUUCGUCACGUCGGCUGUGAAAACCUGGGGCUCAACUCCGGGCCUGCAGCCGAUACGGGCGAACUAGAAUUCGGUAGGGGAGACUGGAAUUCCUGGUGUAGCGGUGAAAUGCGCAGAUAUCAGGAGGAACACCGGUGGCGAAGGCGGGUCUCUGGGCCGAUAUUGACGCUGAGGAGCGAAAGCGUGGGGAGCGAACAGG
rnacentral:rRNA from 1 species